GUCAUUGCAACCCUCAAGCACUGCUUGGUAUUGGGCCUCGUCCCCGCGACGGGCCCGGAAUUCGGUGGCGGUCCAGCGAGACUUCAAGCGUAGCAAGAUUAUACAUCCUCGCUGAGAACAAUCGUUGCGUGCCGGCCAGACAAUCACCUAGUUUUUCAAUGGUUGACCUCGGAUCAGGUAGGGAUACCCGCUGAACUUAA
rnacentral:misc_RNA from 1 species